CCUACGGGUGGCUGCAGUGAGGAAUAUUGGUCAAUGGACGCAAGUCUGAACCAGCCAUGCCGCGUGCAGGAUGACGGCUCUAUGGGUUGUAAACUGCUUUUGUACGGGAGUAAACACCGAGACGCGUCUCGCCCUGAGAGUAUCCGGCGAAUAAGCAUCGGCUAACUCCGUGCCAGCAGCCGCGGUAAUACGGAGGAUGCCAGCGUUAUCCGGAUUUAUUGGGUUUAAAGGGUGCGUAGGCGGGCGGACAAGUUAGCGGUGAAAUCGAGAGGCUCAACCUCGUAAGCGCCUUUGAAACUGUGCGGCUAGAGAGUGGGUGAGGUAGGCGGAAUGCAUGGUGUAGCGGUGAAAUGCUUAGAGAUCAUACAGAACUCCGAUUGCGAAGGCAGCGUACCAGGCCACUUCUGACGCUGAGGCACGAAAGCGUGGGGAGCAAACAGGAUUAGAUACCCCAGUAGUC
rnacentral:rRNA from 1 species